AUCUUCAGGGUCGGGUGCAAAUCCCAACCGGCGGUUAUAGUCCGCGACCUAUUAUCGAUGAUAGUAGCUGAUUUGGUGAAAAUCCAAAACCGACAGUAAAGUCUGGAUGGAAGAAGAU
rnacentral:ncRNA from 1 species